rnacentral:lncRNA from 1 species
UAAAUAUUGCAAAUGAUCUGGUAAGAGCUGAAUGACAAUCCUACAGAAGACAAUGGCUGAAUGUAGCUGUGGAAAUCAGUAUCAAAGACAAGAAAAGGAAUAGGAGUAAGGAGAGAGCCCCAAAUCUUAAAACGACCAUGUAUGUGUCCCUCACAGACGGAUCUGAGAUCAACUCCUCCAUUUGUUGCCUCUUGCUGGAAGGCAGCCCUUUUGAGUGGGGCCUUUUCAAGACAUUUCCAACUUGAGUACUUUGCAGAAGACCCCAAUAACCCUCAUGAAA